AGCCAAGUCAGCGUGGAGGAUGACUGCCCUAUGGGUUGUAAACUCCUUUUAUGCGGGGAUAAAAUGUAUCGCGUGUGAGAUAUUGCAGGUACCGCAUGAAUAAGGACCGGCUAAUGUCCGUGCCAGCAGCCGCGGUAAUACGGAAGGUCCCGGCGUUAUCCGGAUUUAUAGGGUUUAAAGGGAGCGCAAACUGCUUGUCAAGCGUGCAGUUGAAACGCCGUGGCCCAACCACGGGUCCUGCUGCGCGAACUGGCUUGCUUGUAGUGGGCCGUAGGUACGCAGGAAUUCGUGGUGUAGCGGUGAAAUGCUUAGAUAUCUCGAGGAACUCCGAUUGCGAACGCAGCGUACCAUAUCCCAACUGACGUAUACGCUCGAAGGUGCGGGUAUCGAACAGGAUGAGAUACCCUGGUAGUCCGCACAGUAACCAUGGAUGCUCGCUGUCGGCGAUAAUUGCGGUGGGCCUAGCGAAGCGUUACGCAUCCACCUGGGGAGUACGCCAGCACGGUGAAACUCAAGGAA
rnacentral:rRNA from 1 species